ensembl:lncRNA
AUGAUUGUUUUCAGAACCAAAGAACAUAUCCUUUCAAGCAAUAUACAGCUUUCUUCCAUUCAAGUCCCUGGACAGUGUCAAAUUUCUCUAAGAAGUGCCAAUCCUAGUACAAGUGACAGAAGUGGAGCGAUUCACAUCUACAAGGUCACUCAGUCAAAAGGAGGUCAUUCAAAGGCUGUAAACUGUUUCAUGGAGAACACAUCCCAAUGUUACCACGACGACCUGAUGCCCUCGUCAAGAAGGAGCAACUCAUCAGCAGAAAAGUUACAUCUAUUAUUUUCUAUUAUUUCACUCUAUUUUGCUAUACUAUAUAUGUAUAUAAAUAUAUAUAUAUAUAUAUAUAUAUAUAUAUAUAUAUAUAUAUAUAUAUAUAUAUAUAUAUAUAUAUAUAUAUAUAUAUAUAUAUAUAUGUAUAUGUGAUUUAUGCUAUAAUUGCUGUAAUUAUAUUUAAACAUGUUUAUUUCAGUUCUAUUUUGUUCUAACAGCUGCAACUUGAGGACUAUCUGAGGAAUAUAUUGAAAAGGCCUUUAUACAGGACACAUCCUGCUACAGUAAGUCACAGCUCAAACAUUUUCCCUUGUCCGUGCCCUUACAAAAAGUACUGUUGCACUACCAUGUGAUGGUUAUACAAUGGCUUUACUGAAUGAUCAAAGAGCA